rnacentral:rRNA from 1 species
ACUCAAAGGAAUAGACGGGGACCCGCACAAGCAGUGGAGCAUGUGGUUUAAUUCGAUGCUACGCGAAAAACCUUACCAACCCUUGAAUCUCGAUGACAGGUACAGAGAUGUACCCUCGGAGCAAUCCGCAUUGAAGACAGGUGUUGCAUGGCUGUCGUCAGCUCGUGUCGUGAGAUGUUAGGUUAAGUCCUUAAACGAGCGCAACCCUCAUCCUUAUUUGCCAUCGGGUUAUGCCGGGAACUAUAAGGAAACUGCCAGCGACAAGCUGGAGGAAGGUGGGGACGAUGUCAAGUCAUCAUGGCCCUUAUGGGUUGGGCUACACACAUGCUACAAUGGUGGUUACAGCGGGAAGCGAAAGAGCAAUCUGGAGCAAAUCCUAUAAAAGCCAUCUCAGUUCAGAUUGGGGGCUGCAACUCGCCCCCAUGAAGUUGGAAUUGCUAGUAAUCGUAGAUCAGCACGCUACGGUGAAUACGUUCUCGGGUCUUGUACACACCGCCCGU